rnacentral:rRNA from 1 species
AUUGAACGCUGGCGGCAUGCCUUACACAUGCAAGUCGAACGGUAACAGGUCUUCGGAUGCUGACGAGUGGCGAACGGGUGAGUAAUACAUCGGAACGUGCCUAGUAGUGGGGGAUAACUACUCGAAAGAGUGGCCAAUACCGCAUGAGAUCUACGGAUGAAAGCAGGGGAUCGCAAGACCUUGUGCUACUAGAGCGGCCGGCGGCAGAUUAGGUAGUUGGUGGGAUAAAAGCUUACCAAGCCGACGAUCUGUAGCUGGUCUGAGAGGACGAUCAGCCACACUGGGACUGAGAAACGGCCCAGACUCCUACGGGAGGCAGCAGUGGGGAAUUUUGGACAAUGGGCGCAAGCCUGAUCCAGCAAUGCCGCGUGCAGGAUGAAGGCCUUCGGGUUGUAAACUGCUUUUGUACGGAACGAAAAGCCCCGGGUUAAUACCCUGGGGUCAUGACGGUACCGUAAGAAUAAGCACCGGCUAACUACGUGCCAGCAGCCGCCGUAA